UACAGAGGGUGCGAGCGUUGUUCGGAAUUAUUAGGCGUAAAGGGCGCGUAGGCGGUGCGGUAAGUCACCUGUGAAAUCUCCUGGCUCAACUGGGAGCUUGCAGGCGAAACUGCCGUGCUGGAGUGUGGGAGAGGUGCGUGGAAUUCCUGGUGUAGCGGUGAAAUGCGUAGAUAUCAGGAGGAACACCUGUGGCGAAAGCGGCGCACUGGACCACAACUGACGCUGAGGCGCGAAAGCGUGGGGAGCAAACAGG
rnacentral:rRNA from 1 species